UGCAAUGAUUUCUGAAAGAUUUUGUGGUUUGAAUAAUAAUUCAAGUUUCUGGAACUAUCUGGCCAUUUUGCAUAUGUUCAUUUCAUUCUUGGUCAACGUAUGUUUCUACAUCAUUAAUAUAAUUUUAAAGUAUCCACAAGGCUAUUUUUGUGGCUAUCUUAAGAGAUAAUUCCAAUAAAUAGGAGGUGGUUAUUUUCGCCAUGUUGGGCAGGCUGGUCUCAAACUCGUGACCUCAGGUGAUCCCCCGGCCUCGGCAUCUCAAAGUGCUGGGAUCAUAGGCGUGAGCCACUGUGCCCAGCCUAUCUGUGUAUUAUUCCAUGUACAUGAGUAUGGUUGUAAAUGAAGAAGGAAGAAUAGCACUUUUCACUUCUGGUCUACAGCCAAGUCAUGUCUCCCAUGAAAAUAUUUACAAUAUGAUAAGAAUGAACAAUAUUCAAGAUGCUUAAGGUGCUAGGGAAAUGAAACACAUAGCAGCAGCAGCUCCCACUUAAAUAGGGCUUACUGUGUACAGAGUACAGGUCCUAGAGCUUUGGAUAUAUGAACUGAUUUAAUU
rnacentral:lncRNA from 10 species